UUAUCAAACCUGGAGGCUGGAGUCCAUAAAUCAGAUAUUGCAUGGGCAGCAAUAGUGCAAGCUUUUCCACCAGUGGGUACUAAUGUGCUGCAACCCUGCUCUGGAAGGACCACCUAUGGGGCUGAAAGGGUAGCUGAGUCUCUGUGGCCUCUUUGCUGAUACUACU
rnacentral:sRNA from 1 species